rnacentral:rRNA from 1 species
GGAUUAGAUACCCUGGUAGUCCUAGCUGUAAACGAUGGAUACUAGACGUAGGAACUGGAUUGACGGUUUCUGUGUCGUAGCUAACGCGUUAAGUAUCCCGCCUGGGGAGUACGACCGCAAGGUUAAAACUCAAAUGAAUUGACGGGGACCCGCACAAGCAGUGGAGCAUGUGGUUUAAUUCGAAGAUACGCGCAGAACCUUACCAACGCUUGACAUGUUCGUCGCGAGACUAAGAGAUUAGUUUCUUCAGUUCGGCUGGACGAAACACAGGUGCUGCAUGGCUGUCGUCAGCUCGUGCCG